UGCUUGUGUGUACAAUGUCAAAAAUAUUUUAACAAAAUUUUAUACAAAAUACCACUUCGUACUAAACCUCUCUUUGAUACGUGAUAUACGAUGAAUAAUGGAAUAAUGCAGAAUUUGCAUAGUAAUAAUUUGUGAUGUUCUGCUUUUGACUUCCUUUAAACAGCGUUUAUUUUAUUAAAGACAAUGUACGAGAAAUAUAAAUAAAGGUGAGGCGAUGUUAAAAAUUUAAA